rnacentral:misc_RNA from 1 species
GAUGAAGAACGUAGCGAAAUGCGAUAAGUAAUGUGAAUUGCAGAAUUCAGUGAAUCAUCGAAUCUUUGAACGCACAUUGCGCCCUCUGGUAUUCCGGGGGGCAUGCCUGUUCGAGCGUCAUUAUAACCACUCAAGCUCUCGCUUGGUAUUGGGGUUCGCGGUUUCGCGGCCCCUAAAAUCAGUGGCGGUGCCUGUCGGCUCUACGCGUAGUAAUACUUCUCGCGAUUGAGUUCGAUAGGUCUACUUGCCAGUAACCCCCAAUUUUUACAGGUUGACCUCGGAUCAGGUAGGGAUACCCGCUGAACUUAAACAUAUCAAUAAGCGGAGGA